rnacentral:rRNA from 1 species
CAGUCGCCACGGUAAUACGUAGGUGGCAAGCGUUGUCCGGAAUUAUUGGGCGUAAAGGGCUCGCAGGCGGUUUCUUAAGUCUGAUGUGAAAGCCCCCGGCUCAACCGGGGAGGGUCAUUGGAAACUGGGAAACUUGAGUGCAGAAGAGGAGAGGGGAAUUCCACGUGUAGCGGUGAAAUGCGUAGAGAUGUGGAGGAACACCAGUGGCGAAGGCGACUCUCUGGUCUGUAACUGACGCUGAGAGACGAAAGCUAGGGGAGCAAAUGGGAUUAGAUACCCCCGUAGUCCCUGUCUCUUAUAC